rnacentral:tRNA from 1 species
GCCUCGGUAGUGUAGUCCGGCCAAUCAUAAAGCCCUCUCGCAAUCCAAUUGGAGAAAGGCUUUGACCCGGGUUCGAAUCCCGGCCGAGGCA